ensembl:lncRNA
CUUUGGGCAGCUUGUAGAUAUCCUUUGCCAGGCUGUGCUAGCCCAAGUUGCUUGAGGAAUCGUGAACUGUUAAAUGAAUCCUGCCUCCUGUGUACCCUGUAACAUGCUGCUUGGAGUUGUACAGAAAGAAGGCAUUUUUAUACACUGUCUCCAAAGAAAAACAUGGAUUUGCUGAAGUCGUUUGUCUAUCAUCACAUAUUAAUAAGUAGUAGAAACAGGAUUCAAUCCCAGAUCCAGCUGAGUCCAAGGUAAAGUAUUGCCAAUUUAUCCUUAAAAAUUUCUUUUGAAAAAAAAAUUCUUGAUCCAUCGUUUAUUGGAAAAAUGAGCCAUGACAGUGAGCAAUUACUACAUAAUUACUGGCUAUUCUUUUGUGAAUUUAUCCUUUAUAUCUAUCCUUAUUUUAUAUAUUGUCAUUUUAAUUCUAUCUGAAAAUUCGUUAGAUUUAUUCUAUUACAG